CCGAGGAAAAGAAAUCAACCGAGAUUCCCCCAGUAGCGGCGAGCGAACGGGGAGGAGCCCAGAGCCUGAAUCAGCAUGUGUGUUAGUGGAAGCGUCUGGAAAGGCGCGCGAUACAGGGUGACAGCCCCGUACACAAAAGCGCAUGUGCUGUGAGCUCGAUGAGUAGGGCGGGACACGUGGUAUCCUGUCUGAAUAUGGGGGGACCAUCCUCCAAGGCUAAAUACUCCUGACUGACCGAUAGUGAACCAGUACCGUGAGGGAAAGGCGAAAAGAACCCCGGCGAGGGGAGUGAAAAAGAACCUGAAACCGUGUACGUACAAGCAGUGGGAGCCCCACCACUAAGCCAGUGGUGAACUCCACAUACGCAUCCUUUGCUGAGGAUACGGUUAACGGAGCGAAAGCGACGUUCAACCUCAAAAGAAGCAGAGGGGGCUUAGUGGUGGGGUGACUGCGUACCUUUUGUAUAAUGGGUCAGCGACUUAUAUUCUGUAGCAAGGUUAACCGAAUAGGGGAGCCGGAGGGAAACCGAGUCUUAAUUGGGCGUUAAGUUGCAGGGUAUAGACCCGAAACCCGGUGAUCUAGCCAUGGGCAGGUUGAAGGUUGGGUAACACUAACUGGAGGACCGAACCGACUAAUGUUGAAAAAUUAGCGGAUGACCUGUGGCUGGGGGUGAAAGGCCAAUCAAACCGGGAGAUAGCUGGUUCUCCCCGAAAGCUAUUUAGGUAGCGCCUCGUGAACUCAUCUCCGGGGGUAGAGCACUGUUUCGGCUAGGGGGCCAUCCCGGCUUACCAACCCGAUGCAAACUGCGAAUACCGGAGAAUGUUAUCACGGGAGACACACGGCGGGUGCUAACGUCCGUCGUGAAGAGGGAAACAACCCAGACCGCCAGCUAAGGUCCCAAAGUCAUGGUUAAGUGGGAAACGAUGUGGGAAGGCCCAGACAGCCAGGAUGUUGGCUUAGAAGCAGCCAUCAUUUAAAGAAAGCGUAAUAGCUCACUGGUCGAGUCGGCCUGCGCGGAAGAUGUAACGGGGCUAAACCAUGCACCGAAGCUGCGGCAGCGAACGUAUCACCCAAGACAACUUUACGGAGUUGACGAUUGACGGAGCGAAGCGACGUCAAAGCGUUCAUUAAAGUCGAGUUGGCUUAGGGAUACGUUCGUUGGGUAGGGGAGCGUUCUGUAAGCCUGCGAAGGUGGCCUGUGAGGGUUGCUGGAGGUAUCAGAAGUGCGAAUGCUGACAUAAGUAACGAUAAAGCGGGUGAAAAGCCCGCUCGCCGGAAGACCAAGGGUUCCUGUCCAACGUUAAUCGGGGCAGGGUGAGUCGACCCCUAAGGCGAGGCCGAAAGGCGUAGUCGAUGGGAAACGGGUUAAUAUUCCCGUACUUGGUGUUACUGCGAAGGGGGGACGGAGAAGGCUAUGUUGGCCGGGCGACGGUUGUCCCGGUUUAAGCGUGUAGGUGUGUGUUCCAGGUAAAUCCGGUUCACUUUAACACUGAGGCGUGACGACGAGGCACUACGGUGCUGAAGCAACAAAUGCCCUGCUUCCAGGAAAAGCCUCUAAGCAUCAGGUAACAC
rnacentral:rRNA from 1 species